AGGACGAACGCUGGCGGCGCGCCUAAAACAUGCAAGUCGAACGACAAACCCGGGCUUGCCCGGGUGGACAGUGGCGAACGGGUGAGUAACACGUGAGGAACCUGCCCCGAAGACUGGGACAACACCGGGAAACCGGUGCUAAUACCGGAUACCUUCACCGGAUCGCAUGGUCUGGUGAAGAAAUGGAUUCCGCUUCGGGAUGGCCUCGCGGCCUAUCAGCUUGUUGGUGAGGUAACGGCUCACCAAAGGCAACGACGGGUAGCUGGUCUGAGAGGAUGUCCAGCCACACUGGGACUGAGACACGGCCCAGACUCCUACGGGAGGCAGCAGUUAGGAAUCUUGCGCAAUGGACGAAAAGUCUGACGCAGCGACGCCGCGUGCGGGAUGAAUGCCUUCGGGUUGUAAACCGCUUUCAGCAGGGACGAAAUUGACGGUACCUGCAGAAGAAGCCCCGGCAACUACGCGCCAGCAGCCGC
rnacentral:rRNA from 1 species